UACAUAUGCCCACAUACAAAUAACUCAAAAGUUAUCCCCAUAUACUAAUAAAGAAGGGUCUUGCAGUCCACCAACCUUGAGAGGUUGAUUGCCUUUUAGUAUAUGCAAGUUUGCUAAAAGUUGACAGUGAGAUUGAAAAUUAUUGGAGUGUAAAAACCUUAUAUCAUGGUCUGUGGGCAAUAGAAAUAAUUUCUCGGGUUAGGUACAAAGCGCUUAUGGCAUUUGUGAAUAUGGUAGAUCCAGUACUAAAGACUACAGCAAUAAACUGCAUCAACAACUGUACCAGCCGUCACAGAAUAUUGUUGUUGCAGACAAACACACUGUCAAAUCAAGAAAUAGGUUGGGGUUAGGCAGUUCAUCA
rnacentral:lncRNA from 1 species